ACCAAAACAAAUGACAGGACCAACUUUAUUGAUCACGCUGUACCUCCGGUAUCAUAAUUAAGCAUUUUAGGUUAUGUUCAAAACUUUCCAACCUUUACUAAAAUCAAGCUAAGGCUGUGCUAACUGCUAGUAGUGAUUCAUUCCCUUUCGUGAAGAUAGUCAUGGAUGACGUUAUUGUUAAAAUAGAACCAGAACAAGAAGAUGAACUAAAUUUGUCGCUAGAAAGAAACAUUGUUGUCAGUAAUGAGUUUUUGGGAACUGUACAAGAACAGAAUACUACACUCAGUGCAGAACAUUGUAGCGACCAGUGCAAUGGCGACGAAAUGCAGCAACAAGAACGUUUGUCAGAUAUUAAUUCUCAGACUGUAGAAUUUAAAUGUGUAGUUUGUGAUUACGUGGCAGGUAACGAACGAAAUUUUAAAAGGCACUGUUUCACUCACGAAACUGCUAACGUAUUUAAAUGUCACAAUUGUGAUUAUGCCACAAAUAGAAAAUGCAAUUUGAGCAAUCAUGUCAUAAUGCACAAUCGGUCUAAAGAGUUUAAAUGUGAACUCUGUGAUUAUGCCUCACAUAGAGAACACAAUUUGAAAAUACACACCGUAAAACACGCUCAAUCCAAAUUUUUUAAAUGUGACAUUUGUGGUUAUGCCACAUAUCGAAAAGACAAUUU